AUUGAACGCUGGCGGCAUGCCUUACACAUGCAAGUCGAACGGUAACAGGUCUUCGGAUGCUGACGAGUGGCGAACGGGUGAGUAAUACAUCGGAACGUGCCUAGUAGUGGGGGAUAACUACUCGAAAGAGUGGCUAAUACCGCAUGAGAUCUACGGAUGAAAGCAGGGGAUCGCAAGACCUUGUGCUACUAGAGCGGCCGAUGGCAGAUUAGGUAGUUGGUGGGAUAAAAGCUUACCAAUCCGACGCUCUGUAGCUGGUCUGAGAGGACGAGCAGCCACACUGGGACUGAGACACGGCCCAGACUCCGACGGAAGGCAGCAGUGGGGAAUUUUGGACAAUGGGCGAAAGCCUGAUCCAGCAAUGCCGCGUGCAGGAUGAAGGCCUUCGGGUUGUAAACUGCUUUUGUACGGAACGAAAAGCCCUGGGUUAAUACCCUGGGGUCAUGACGGUACCGUAAGAAUAAGCACCGGCUAACUACGUGCCAGCCGCCGCGGUAA
rnacentral:rRNA from 1 species